GAAUAAUAUUCAGCCUUCAAACAGAUACGAGUAGAGUGCACCGCGAAACGGAUCCCCAGAUCGGAGGAGGUGGGCACAACAAACCCAUAAACCUUGUCUAUAAAUAAAAACUAGCCGGAGCAGCGUCAGUGUGGUAGAGAGGGGGAUAGAGGACUGCAUGUGCUAUUAAUUAUCUCAUCUGUCUCUGCCUUUGGGCCUUUGCUGGACACGCUGAAAACAAAUGUUAAUUAAUCGCCUGCCCACAAAUCUAAAUUCGAAAUCGUUAAAUUAACUGAUAAUCCAAAUAGUACUUAUACAUAGUAUUAUGUACAAUAUGUACUACAACGUGAACGACAUUUGUUUAGACGGCAACGCUGACAGCGGCGCCAACGCCUAGAGAUGUCCAGCCCCUGCCCCCUGCCCAUGCCUCAGCCAAGAUUCCAGAUUAGAGCUUGGAAACGUGGAAAAAUAUGCAAUUCCUGGGACUUUCAAGCCCCGUUUGAAUCGAUUAUCGCCCUGAUUAGGUGGGCGGGUUCCACUCAAUAACAAAUCGGAAAAAACUGUUACCUAAGCACCGCAAAAACUUCCCUCUAAAAAUAACACGGAUCUGGUAAGCCCUUUGUAAUCUAUUUAAAGCCAUCCCAGAGCGAUCUUUUAACCCAAAGCGGAACUGCAGCCAAUUAGCCGUUCAAUCAGACUGUUUGCAUCCACAGAGCAGGUGCUCCGGCACUCCUAUCUCUGCUCAUGUCCAGUCUGUCACUCAAUCCAAGAUCAUUAGGACAAUAAAUGUACAUACAUACAUAUGUAACUUAAAUAAAACAAACAUAUUCAAAACAAAUUAAUUGAAUAUUAAAGUAUUUAUUUAAAUAUUAAUUGCGCCCAAAGAAUCGAUUAAAAUCUACAGAAAAAUAUCUCAUCUUAUGGAACUAUAUUGAAGUCAUAUUCCAGUUUCCCCAUCUGCCAAAAAAAUAAAGUAAAAAUAAAAGACGAAGAAACUAGGCCAUCAUACAUACUAUGUAUACUACUACUGAUAACGAAGGCUGGCUGAUUAAGCCCUGUCCAAAGAUUCAUGAGCAAAAUCAGGAGUGAAGGCACGGGGGGUUUCAAAUUCUGUCAUUGAACUUAACAUUGGUGAAGAGGAGGAGGAAUACACGUAUAGGGGUGUAGAAGAAAGAGGGGGAGCAGAAACGGAAUGGCAACUGAUAUGCUAGUUGGUCGCGCGACUGGCCGGCAACAACAAUGGAUCCAGCCCACAAUCUCCUCCGCUCCUAAUCAAUCUCCCACUCGCUCCGCACUGCUCCCCAUAAGCGCCAGAAAACAAAUUUGUUCUUCUUCGUGCGCCAUUAGACCCGCUAAGAAAGUGUACCAAAGGGGCGGCGAAUGGAUGGAGAAUGGCGAACGAGAGAGGAAAACAUUUACCGCCAAACCGUUAAAUUAAGUUACGCCCACACCCACACGCCCCAACCGACAGGUGGCGUUGCGUAUGGUGUUCAAAAUACCUGGAAAUAAAGGAAGGAAUAAUCAACUUA